rnacentral:rRNA from 1 species
UAGGGAAUCUUCCACAAUGGACGAAAGUCUGAUGGAGCAACGCCGCGUGAGUGAUGAAGGGUUUCGGCUCGUAAAACUCUGUUGUUGGAGAAGAACGGGUGUCAGAGUAACUGUUGACAUCGUGACGGUAUCCAACCAGAAAGCCACGGCUAACUACGUGCCAGCAGCCGCGGUAAUACGUAGGUGGCAAGCGUUGUCCGGAUUUAUUGGGCGUAAAGCGAGCGCAGGCGGUUUUUUAGGUCUGAUGUGAAAGCCUUCGGCUUAACCGGAGAAGUGCAUCGGAAACCGGGAGACUUGAGUGCAGAAGAGGACAGUGGAACUCCAUGUGUAGCGGUGAAAUGCGUAGAUAUAUGGAAGAACACCAGUGGCGAAGGCGGCUGUCUGGUCUGCAACUGACGCUGAGGCUCGAAAGCAUGGGUAGCGAACAGGAUUAGAUACCCUGGUAGUCCAUGCCGUAAACGAUGAGUGCUAAGUGUUGGAGGGUUUCCGCCCUUCAGUGCUGCAGCUAACGCAUUAAGCACUCCGCCUGGGGAGUACGACCGCAAGGUUGAAAC